AAUCAACGCUGGCGGCGUGCCUCAGACAUGCAAGUCGAACGAGAACCUCCCUUCGGGGAGGGGACAGUGGCGCACGGGUGAGUAACACGUGGGUAAUUUACCUUCGGGUGGGGAACAACAGCCGGAAACGGCUGCUAAUACCGCAUAAUGCAGCGGCUCCGAUUGGAGACAGUUGUUAAAGCGGGGGAUCGCAAGACCUCGCGCCUGAAGAGAAGCCCGCGGCAGAUUAGCUAGNGGUAGGGUAAUGGCCUACCAAGGCAACGAUCUGUAACCGGCCUGAGAGGGCGGUCGGUCACACUGACACUGACAUACGGGUCAGACUCC
rnacentral:rRNA from 1 species